rnacentral:rRNA from 1 species
GCAAUAGCUACUUGCAUCAUUCUAAAUAUGAUGCAAGAUCGACUAUGUCGAAUAAAAUUCUAGGUAGAAUUAUGAUAAUGACAUUGUCUGCCUAUGUGUCUUGACCAAAUUACGUGCCAGCAGUCGCGGUAAUACGUAGAAGACUAGUGUUAUUCAUGUUUAAUCGGUUUAAAGGGUACCUAGACGGUAAAUCAAGCCUAAAAGGAAAUAAAUGAAGGGACUAAUUUACUAGAGUUACUUAUGAGGGGGUAUUAAAGUACUGCUGGUGUAGAGAUGAAAUUCUGUCAUACCUCUUUUCAAUAGAAAAAUAAUGGCACAGGUAUAGGCGAAAGCAUCCCCUUAUGUGAUAACUGACGUUGAGGGACGAAGGCUUUGUGUAGCGAACAGGAUUAGAUACCCCAGUAGUCAAAGCAGAAAAUGAUGAAUGUCAUAGAUUAGAUAUAUAAGUUUAUUCUAUAAAUGAAAGUGUAAGCAUUCCACCUCAAGAGUAAUUUGGCAACAUUGGAACUGAAAUCAUUAGACCGUUUCUGAAACCAGUAGUGAAGUAUGUUGUUUAAUUUGAUGAUCCGCAAAAAACCUUACCACAAUUUGAAUAUUUAUAUCUUUUGUUGUUUUUCUUUUUAACUUUCUUCUGAUUUUCUACUUAAAAGAAAACAAUAACAAGAAAAAAGAGGCAAUAAGA